ACCAUCACGUAUCAAGGUAUUUUACGGUAUAUACAGAAAGAAUUUUCAUCGGACAAAAAACUAAUCAGUAGUCUGAACAAUAAUCUAGGCUCCAACUCUUUUUAUGGGAUAGUGCACGAAUUUGAUUUGUGGUCGGAGUAAUUCGAAAAUAUCAUUUCGAUUUGGUUAGUUCGGAUACACCGGCGAAUCACUCUCAACCCCGACCGAGAAAACACCGAAUCCGAAAUCCUCUGCAUUGAGCCAAACGUUAAUGUGGGGGGCGGAAGAAGUUCUUUUACAGGCAAACACCAGUGAAGCAUUUCAGUUCUUCUUCUCCUUCUCCUUCGAUGGAUUAGAGGAACGACCUUACAGACCCACAUAGCCAUGGCUGUCUCUCCUGAUACCACUGCAAUAGACCUAAAAAGGAUGUAAGGGAAUCUGGUUUCUUCUUUGGACGCAAAUCUUAUGGGCAACUCUCUAACCCUUGUGCUGGUGAAUUUGGUGACAUAUCGAAGGCAGACUCUGGAGUUAAACAAAAUAGAGUUUAACCACAGAGAAGAAGAAAUUUCUCUGCUAACGGUCAAGACCCCCAGUGUCAGCUCAACUGAGAUGAUAUCAGUUAAUGGUAUCAUUACAAGGUAUUUCCCCGAGUACGAAGAGGUGAGUUCUUCUAAUGUAGGUCAUGUCGGUAAGAGUGAUUUUGAAACUCAUCCAGGCUGCCUACUUGACCUACAUAAGUUCUCAAGAAGCAAAUAUAAUGUAGAUCAGAGAGCACCUCAUUUUAUCAAAACACCACCUGCAUUACUACCCCGUCCAUUAUGUACAGAACCAAAACAAUUCAUUGAAACUCCGAGGGAGAAAUUUGAAAGAACAAAAUUUGGGAACGUCUUUCUGUAGCAGCAAAUUAUAUCAGGGUAUCAACAAGUACCAAGACAUCAAUGAUUUCCGCCUGCCUAUCCACGGUGGACAAGUUUCUGAACUCACUUGUGAGAAAAAUUGUUUCUGAAGUCAGUGAUAAUGAUGAUUGAGGAAAUCUAACAUGUAUAAAGCCAAUUGUACUGCAAAUAUCAAAAAUAUGUGAUAUGAAUGAAAUGGAGUACCAGAGGAAUGAGGUUCAAAGCUGAUUUCUUGUUCCUGCACAUUUGUUGUGCUGAGAUAGUUACGAUCCUUUGUCUUCACACAGGUAUGGAUUUUUACUUGCAGUUCAUUUGUUACAGGACCGGUACGUUUGUACCAAAUUUAGUUAUGUAUGUAACUUUGGAAAUACUUGUAGAUAGCUCUCUAUGUUCUGUAAAUUGUAUUGUGAGCAAUAAUGUAGGUUCGG